AAAUUGAAGAGUUUGAUCAUGGCUCAGAUUGAACGCUGGCGGCAGGCCUAACACAUGCAAGUCGAACGGUAACAGGAAGCAGCUUGCUGCUUUGCUGACGAGUGGCGGACGGGUGAGUAAUGUCUGGGAAACUGCCUGAUGGAGGGGGAUAACUACUGGAAACGGUGGCUAAUACCGCAUAACGUCGCGAGACCAAAGAGGGGGACCUUCGGGCCUCUUGCCAUCAGAUGUGCCCAGAUGGGAUUAGC
rnacentral:rRNA from 1 species